ensembl:lncRNA
CCCGACCCGAAGCGCGGCUGCCCGGACGGUCUGAGGACUCAGAGGGAUGUCGAGCCCCGACCACCGGGUCUGCCCCGACCAGCGAGCGGGUCUGCCCUCCCUUCGUGGCCCGUCUCCGCGGGCGCUGCUCACCGGUACUCGUAGUGCUCGUCGAAGUACUUGUCUGAGUAGUAGAUCUGCUUGUGGGCCAUCCUGCUGGCGUGCGAAGGAAAAAACCGGGACAAGGAAACGGGGCACAAGGAGCUCCACGUCCGCCUAAGGCCGGGGCAACGACUCGAAUGAGGCCAACGACCGCAGGCCCAACGCUCUGGAUUUGAAUCCGACAGCCGGCCGCCGAUUGGACGAAACCACUGACCAAUCACGCUCCGCUCAGACCUCGAGGACAGCUGCCGAAGGAGCCAGGGGCAAAUGACAGAACUAGCAAUGUUCUGUCACCAUUCUGGUCGUCUUGGAGAUCGGAUGCCAGAAGCGGUGUGUGCAAAGCAGAAAGCAUCAUCAAAUCACGACUCGAGGGUACCACACCUUCUGAUGGCAGCCUUGGAAAAAAAAAGAAGUAAUGUUGCUAUCUGCCUGUUUGCCCUCACUCUCACUGCCUGGUCCCUCUACCCUGCUGCUGAGGCAGUCCUUCCCUGGUAAUUAGAACUUACUUUUUCAGGAUUCCAACACAGAUCAAAGGUCAGCAGCUCUCUAUGAACUCCUCAGGACUCCAGCACCAGAUUAGCACUGCUGAAAUAUUCAUUCCCAGCUGGGUAAUGGUUGCCCAUGCUUUUAAUCCUAGCAGAGGCAGCGGAUCUCUGAGUACGAGGCCAGCCUGAUCUUCAGAGCAGCUCCAGGGCACUCAGGGAUACACAUAGGAAAGUUGUCUCGAAGCUGCCCCCACCAGCCCCCCCAAAAGAUGCCCAGUUUUACGUACAGCACAACUACCAGCCUUUCCACCAGGAGAUAAUACAUCUGUUGUUGUACUAUCCAGCCUCUAAGCCUUUCUGAUAAAUCCCACAUAAAUUAAAAAUGUAAAAAGUGAUUUGGGGCUGGAGAGACAGCUCAGUGUUUAAGGUCUCUUGCACAGGACCCAGGCUUGGUUUCUAGUAUUCACAUGGUGGUUCAUGACAAACCUUCCAGAGCUCCAAUGUCAGAGAAUCCAACGCUCUCUCCCCAGGCAGCAAGCACACACUGGUGCACACAUCUACAUUCAAGUAAAAUACUCAUAAAAUAAAUAAACUCAAUACAAUUUUAAGUGACAUCAGGUACGAAUUAAGAAAUAAAGUGACUCUUAGCCUCCCUUCUCCCACUCCUUACAUUGAGACUUCCUGGGCCCCACACUGGAAGCCUCACACAUACAACCCUUCAGCAAGAGCCCAAGGGAAUGUUGGAAGAAUACUAUGACUCUGACUGACAGGGAGUGUCAACUGAGCUUCCAAACUUUUGUUUAUGGUGCCAGAGAGAUGGCUCAGCAGUUAAGAGCACUGACUACUCUUCCAGAGGACCUGGGUUCAAUUCCCAGCAACCACUUGGUGACUCACAAAAUGUAACUCCUGUUCCAGGGGAUCUGAACCCUCACACAAACAUAGAUGCAGUCAAAACACUGAUGCACAUAAAAAAGUAAUUAAAAAAGAAACCCAGACAGGGGUUCUUGACAUGGAAUGCUUUCUGAUUGCAAUCUCAUGAUCUUCCUUACAGAGGCAGGAUUUUCUGUACUGAAGCUUACCACUUUUAGGUGGCCUGAAACAUGGGAGCUUUUUGCAGACUCUCAAGUGCUGGGAUUAUAGACACGCAUCACCAUACCUAGUUAUUUUAUUAUUACCGAGGGAAGGGUUUGAACUGACGGCUCCAGGGUACCAUCUCCCAUAGUGGGGAAGGCAGGGCAGCAGGAGCUGAAGGCAGCAGGACACAGUGCAGCCACAGUCGGGAAGCAGGGAGAGAAGGGCAAGGGGGAUGGGGAGAGGAAUGAAUGCUGGAGCGUGGCUGCAUCUUGUUUUAUUCACACCAUCGUUAGGAUGGGCCUGCCCACCUCAACUAGCCUAGAUUAUUAAUCUAGAUAAUAUUUCAUGGACACGCUCAGAGUUUUGUCUCCAUAGUGAACUUAGGUCCUACCAAGUUGACAAUCAGGGUUAACCGUCAUAGCUAUCACUAGUUUCUAGAAAGACACUGCGGAAUUUACCUCCCUGCAGCAGGUGAAGCAAGGGAGAGAAGACAGGCGCAGAGUAAGGACUGGUGCCAGGCUUUCAGUUUGCUUUUGGUUACCUGUGGGCUCCAGUAAGGGCCCAGCGCUUUCCAGCCAAAGCAUUAUCUUUUUUUUUUUUUUUUCUUUUUUCUUUUUUUCAGAGCUGGGGACCGAACUCAGGGCCUUGCGCUUGCUAGACAAGCGCUCUACCACUGAGCUAAAUUCCCAACCCCCAAAGCACUAUCUUAAGUGCGCGUUAUAUGAAGUGUUUGUCCGAGGUCUUCUCAGAGUUUCACUAAGGACCACUGUCUUAUGGUGUCGGCGCCAGCACCGACCUGGUACCGAGAAUCGGGCGAAAGCCUACGGGAUGAAAGAAACACACAUACACACACACAGGUUAUUGUGUCAAGCCAGGAGAGGAAGAGAGAAAGAGAGAGAGAGAGAGAGAGAGAGA